rnacentral:miRNA from 1 species
UGGUAUUACUAACCUAAAGCUGA